rnacentral:rRNA from 1 species
UACGCAGGGUGCAAGCGUUGUCCGGAAUUAUUGGGCGUAAAGAGCUCGUAGGCGGUUUGUUGCGUCGGCUGUGAAAUCCCGAGGCUCAACCUCGGGUCUGCAGUCGAUACGAGCAAACUAGAGUGUUGCAGGGGAGACUGGAAUUCCUGGUGUAGCGGUGAAAUGCGCAGAUAUCAGGAGGAACACCGGUGGCGAAGGCGGGUCUCUGGGCAACAACUGACGCUGAGGAGCGAAAGCGUGGGGAGCGAACAGG